GACGAACGCUGGCGGCGUGCUUAACACAUGCAAGUCGAACGGAAAGGCCCUGCUUUUGUGGGGUGCUCGAGUGGCGAACGGGAGAGUAACACGUGAGUAACCUGCCCUUGACUUUGGGAUAACUUCAGGAAACUGGGGCUAAUACCGGAUAGGAGCUCCUGCUGCAUGGUGGGGGUUGGAAAGUUUCGGCGGUUGGGGAUGGACUCGCGGCUUAUCAGCUUGUUGGUGGGGUAGUGGCUUACCAAGGCUUUGACGGGUAGCCGGCCUGAGAGGGUGACCGGCCACAUUGGGACUGAGAUACGGCCCAGACUCCUACGGGAGGCAGCAGUGGGGAAUAUUGCACAAUGGGCGGAAGCCUGAUGCAGCAACGCCGCGUGCGGGAUGACGGCCUUCGGGUUGUAAACCGCUUUCGCCUGUGACGAAGCGUGAGUGACGGUAAUGGGUAAAGAAGCACCGGCUAACUACGUGCCAGCAGCCGCGGUGAUACGUAGGGUGCGAGCGUUGUCCGGAUUUAUUGGGCGUAAAGGGCUCGUAGGUGGUUGAUCGCGUCGGAAGUGUAAUCUUGGGGCUUAACCCUGAGCGUGCUUUCGAUACGGGUUGACUUGAGGAAGGUAGGGGAGAAUGGAAUUCCUGGUGGAGCGGUGGAAUGCGCAGAUAUCAGGAGGAACACCAGUGGCGAAGGCGGUUCUCUGGGCCUUUCCUGACGCUGAGGAGCGAAAGCGUGGGGAGCGAACAGGCUUAGAUACCCUGGUAGUCCACGCUGUAAACGGUGGGUACUAGGUGUGGGGUCCAUUCCACGGGUUCCGUGCCGUAGCUAACGCUUUAAGUACCCCGCCUGGGGAGUACGGCCGCAAGGCUAAAACUCAAAGGAAUUGACGGGGCCCCGCACAAGCGGCGGAGCAUGCGGAUUAAUUCGAUGCAACGCGUAGAACCUUACCUGGGUUUGACAUGGAUCGGGAGUGCUCAGAGAUGGGUGUGCCUCUUUUGGGGUCGGUUCACAGGUGGUGCAUGGCUGUCGUCAGCUCGUGUCGUGAGAUGUUGGGUUAAGUCCCGCAACGAGCGCAACCCUUGUUCACUGUUGCCAGCACGUUAUGGUGGGGACUCAGUGGAGACCGCCGGGGUCAACUCGGAGGAAGGUGGGGAUGACGUCAAGUCAUCAUGCCCCUUAUGUCCAGGGCUUCACGCAUGCUACAAUGGCUGGUACAGAGAGUGGCGAGCCUGUGAGGGUGAGCGAAUCUCGGAAAGCCGGUCUCAGUUCGGAUUGGGGUCUGCAACUCGACCUCAUGAAGUCGGAGUCGCUAGUAAUCGCAGAUCAGCAACGCUGCGGUGAAUACGUUCCCGGGGCU
rnacentral:rRNA from 1 species